AUUGAACGCUGGCGGCAGGCCUAACACAUGCAAGUCGAACGAGUGGCGGACGGGUGAGUAAUGUCUGGGAAACUGCCCGAUGGAGGGGGAUAACUACUGGAAACGGUAGCUAAUACCGCAUACCAUCGGAUGUGCCCAGAUGGGAUUAGCUAGUAGGUGGGGUAAUGGCUCACCUAGGCGACGAUCCCUCGCUGGUCUGAGAGGAUGACCAGCCACACUGGAACUGGGACACGGUCCAGACUCCUACGAGAGGCAGCAGGGGGGAAUAUUGCACAGUGGGCGCAAGCCUGAUGCAGCCAUGCCGCGUGUAUGAAGAAGGCCUUCGGGUUGUAAAGUACUUUCAGCGGGGAGGCGUUAAACGCAGAAGAAGCACCGGCUAACUCCGAGCCAGCAGCCGCGGUAAUUC
rnacentral:rRNA from 1 species